GUCUACAGCCAUACCACCCUGAACGUGCCCGAUCUUGUCUGAUCUCAGAAGCUAAGCAGGGUCAGGCCUGGUUAGUGCUUGGAUGGGAUUCCGUCUGGGAAUACUGGGUGCUGUAGGCC
rnacentral:rRNA from 1 species